AGAGUUUGAUCCUGGCUCAGGACGAACGCUGGCGGCGUGCUUAACACAUGCAAGUCGAGCGGAGUAAAGAGGGGCUUGCUUUUCUUUACUUAGCGGCGGACGGGUGAGUAACACGUGGGCAACCUACCCUAUGGAGGGGAAUAACAGGGAGAAAUCUUUGCUAAUACCGCAUAGAUCCAAAGUUUUGCAUAAAGCUUUGGAGAAAGGAGAAAUCCGCCAUAGGAUGGGCCCGCGUCCCAUUAGCUAGUUGGUGAGAUAACAGCCCACCAAGGCGACGAUGGGUAGCCGACCUGAGAGGGUGAACGGCCACAUUGGAACUGAGACACGGUCCAGACUCCUACGGGAGGCAGCAGUGGGGAAUAUUGCACAAUGGGGGGAACCCUGAUGCAGCAACGCCGCGUGAGCGAUGAAGGUCUUCGGAUUGUAAAGCUCUGUCUUCGCUGACGAUAAUGACGGUAAGCGAGGAGGAAGCCACGGCUAACUACGUGCCAGCAGCCGCGGUAAUACGUAGGUGGCGAGCGUUGUCCGGAAUUACUGGGCGUAAAGGGUGCGUAGGCGGUUUUUUAAGUGGGAUGUGAAAUCCUGAGGCUUAACUUCAGAAUUGCAUUCCAAACUGGAAGGCUAGAGUACAGGAGAGGAAAGCGGAAUUCCCAGUGUAGCGGUGAAAUGCGUAGAGAUUGGGAGGAACACCAGUGGCGAAGGCGGCUUUCUGGACUGUAACUGACGCUGAGGCACGAAAGCGUGGGGAGCAAACAGGAUUAGAUACCCUGGUAGUCCACGCCGUAAACG
rnacentral:rRNA from 1 species